rnacentral:miRNA from 1 species
ACAAGCUUUCGGGAGAACCUCCCUUUCUCAAGUGAAAUGCUUCAGACUUGAGAAAGGGAGGUUCUCCCGAAAGCUUG